rnacentral:rRNA from 1 species
AUUGAACGCUGGCGGCAGGCCUAACACAUGCAAGUCGAGCGGAUGAAGGGAGCUUGCGCCUGGAUUCAGCGGCGGACGGGUGAGUAAUGAAUAGGAAUCUGACUGGUAGUGGGGGAUAACGUCAGGAAACGGGCGCUAAUACAGCAUACGUCAUGAGGGAGAAAGUGGGGGAUCUUCGGAGCAAACGCUAUCAGAUGAGACUAGGUCGGAUUAGCUAGUUGGUGGGGUAAAGGCCUACCAAGGCGACGAUCCGUAACUGGUCUGAGAGGAUGAUCAGUCACACUGGAACUGAGACACGGUCCAGACUCCUACGGGAGGCAGCAGUGGGGAAUAUUCGGCAAUGGGCGAAAGCCUGAUCCAGCCAUGCCGCGUGUGUGAUGAAGGUCUUCGGAUUGUAAAGCACUUUUAGUUGGGAGGAACGGCAGUAAGUUAAUACCUUGCUGUUUUGACGUUACCAACAGAAUAAGCACCGGCUAACUUCGUG